GGCGCUGUGGCUUAGUUGGUUAAAGUGUCUGUCUCGUAAACAAAAGAUCCGAGUUCAACUCUCAGCAGUGCCU
rnacentral:tRNA from 1 species